rnacentral:rRNA from 1 species
UACGUAGGGUGCGAGCGUUAAUCGGAAUUACUGGGCGUAAAGCGUGCGCAGGCGGUUUUGUAAGCCAGAUGUGAAAUCCCCGGGCUUAACCUGGGAAUGGCAUUUGGGACUGCAAGGCUUGAGUGCGGCAGAGGAGACUGGAAUUCCUGGUGUAGCAGUGAAAUGCGUAGAGAUCGGGAGGAACACCAGUGGCGAAGGCGGCUACCUGGACCAGCACUGACACUGAGGCACGAAAGCGUGGGGAGCAAACAGG